GUCAUUGCGGACCACAAAAUCCUGCAUUCAUAGGAAUUGCUCAUAAAUGAUUAGUUUCAGCCACCAGGUUAAUUCCUACUCCACAAAACAAAACAUAUCAUUUUCACUGCUUUUAUUAGUUUUUGCAUAGAUGCAAUCAACACAACUUCCAUGUCAAUGGCUGAACUUCUGGCAUGUAAUUGAAACUACAAGAAAUUGAAAGCAGCCAUCUUUUGUGUUUUAUGACAAUUCAUUCCAAUCAUGAACAUUAUAAAUUAUGAAGAAUGAAAUUUUAUGUUCAGUAGUGGAAUGUGUCUUGCACAUCUUCCUUCAGUAUUACAGAGGCCAUCAGAAAUCAUGUUGUUUAAAAUGUGAGUCUCAUGGAGAUCAAAAUGGAUGAUUAUGCUUUGGUUUCUAUAUAGUAGAUGAAAGCAAUUAUCAUCAAACAAUAAGAAAUUUCAUAUUAUUGCUAACCUCUCUGAUAUUCAGAGGAAGGAGAAACUGCCACCUUUUU
rnacentral:misc_RNA from 1 species